rnacentral:rRNA from 1 species
AUUGAACGCUGGCGGCAGGCCUAACACAUGCAAGUCGAACGAGUGGCGGACGGGUGAGUAAUGUCUGGGAAACUGCCUGAUGGAGGGGGCUAACUACUGGAAACGGUAGCUAAUACCGCAUACAACCGGAUGUGCCCAUAUGGGAUGAGCUAGGUGGUGGGGUAACGGCUCACCUAGGCGACGAUCCCUCGCUGGUCUGAGGGGAUGACCAGCCAGCAGGGGACUGGGACACGGACCAAAUGCCUAGGGGAGACAGCAGUGAGGAAUAUUGCACAAUGGGCGCAAGCCUGAUGCGCCCAUGCCGCGAGUAUGAAGAAGUACUUCGGGUUGUAGAGUACUUUCAGCUGGGAGGCGUUACCCGCAGAAGAAGCACCGGCUAACUCCGUGCCAGCCGCCGCGGUAAUUC